rnacentral:rRNA from 1 species
UACGUAGGGGGCAAGCGUUGUCCGGAAUUAUUGGGCGUAAAGCGCGCGCAGGCGGUCAUUUAAGUCUGAUGUGAAAGCCCACGGCUCAACCGUGGAGGGUCAUUGGAAACUGGAGGACUUGAGUACAGAAGAGGAAAGCGGAAUUCCACGUGUAGCGGUGAAAUGCGUAGAGAUGUGGAGGAACACCAGUGGCGGAGGCGGCGUUGUGGUCUGUAACUGACGCUGAGGCGCGAAAGCGUGGGGAGCAAACAGG